rnacentral:rRNA from 1 species
AACGAACGCUGGCGGCAUGCUUAACACAUGCAAGUCGAACGGAAACGCCCUGCUUUCGUGGGGUGACCGAUUGGCAACCGGGUGAGUAACACGUGAGUAUCCUGCCCUACACUUUGGGAUAUCUUCUAGUAACUGAUGCUACUACCGGAUAGGAGCCCCUGUUCCAUGGUAUGGGUUGGAAAGUUUCGGCGUAUGGGGUUGGACUCGGGGCUUCUCAGUUUGCUAGGGGGGUCGGGGCUUACCAAGGCAUUGACAGGUCUCCGGCCUGAGAGGGUGACCGGCCACGUUAGGACGGGGAUACGACCCAGACUCGUACCGGAGGCGGCGGUGGGGAGUAUUGCACAAUGGGCGGAGGCCUGAUGCAGCAACGCCGCGUGCGGGAUGACGGCCUGCGGGUAGUGAACCGCUGUCGCCUGUUACGAAGCGUUAGUGACGGUAAUGGGGAAAGAAGCACCGGCUAACUACGUG